UCAAGAGUGUGCAACAAUGUUGAGGAG
rnacentral:piRNA from 1 species